UACCUGGUUGAUCCUGCCAGUAGUCAUAUGCUUGUCUCAAAGAUUAAGCCAUGCAAGUCUAAGUACGAGCUCUCGUACAGUGAAACUGCGAAUGGCUCAUUAAAUCAGUUAUGGUUCAUUUGAUCGUACAGUUUACUUGGAUAACUGUGGUAAUUCUAGAGCUAAUACA
rnacentral:ncRNA from 1 species